UAGGGAAUCUUCCACAACGGACGCAAGUCUGAUGGAGCAACGCCGCGUGAGUGAAGAAGGGUUUCGGCUCGUAAAGCUCUGUUGUUAAAGAAGAACGUGGGUAAGAGUAACUGUUUACCCAGUGACGGUAUUUAACCAGAAAGCCACGGCUAACUACGUGCCAG
rnacentral:rRNA from 1 species